CAGGUGCCGAUGCCCCGCUGCAGGUGCAGCCCCAGGUGCAUCCACAGGGGAAUCUCCAGGUGCGGUUGGUGAACGGCUCCUCCAGGUGCGUGGGCCGGGUGGAGGUGCUGCACAGGAACAGGUGGGGCUCCGUCUGCGACGACACCUGGGACAUGGCGGACGCACAGGUGAUCUGCCGCUCCCUGGGCUGCGGCUCCGCCCUGGCCGCCCCCGGCC